rnacentral:lncRNA from 1 species
CCCGAAGUUACAGAAACGCGUAAUAAGCAUCUACAGCUGAAGAUGCAACCACCUCACUGCUUAUAUCCCUUGCUCAAUUCUUCUUGAAAUUUGAUUCUCCAGUCUAUUUCCAGCCUGUCAACUCAAAACAGGACUCAGCUUUGAAACGAUGCAGAAUGAUGAUCUUCAAGUGGAUAAGUAGCUUUGACUCAGUGAGGGGAAUUUAUGAGACAACUGGACAUACUUUACUUAAGCAUGUAUUAUUAAUAAACUUGGUUCUCUGACGAUUUCAUACAAGUACAGAACAUGUUUUGUCCCUCUAAUCCCCAUCACUCCCUUAUUCAUGGUAACUUUUCUCUCACAGUCAUGACUUUGUGUUUUGUUUUGUUUCCCACAGAUUUUAACCUAGUGCUUCCUCUAUGAACACAGGCCUGGAACUAACAAUCAGAUCCAGGAGGACUCGCCAGUGAACAUCCUGGUGUUCUAUGGCACUUAGCACUAAAUGCUAUUCCUCUCGCACUCCUACAGUCUGUUAGUCACCA